rnacentral:lncRNA from 1 species
ACCUGGAAGGGGACGUGUUGGAAGCCCCUGCCCUGGGGAGUGUAACGGGAGCUGGCUUCUAGAAACUUGCACAUCACUCAUCUCACCAGGCGUUAAGAGUAACAGCGCAUUGUGCGGGUGAAACCUCCACCCUGGUUCUGCGUUGUAGCCCUCAUCACCUUACCA